UGGGCUUUUAUGGACCUCAGAGGGGAAAA
rnacentral:piRNA from 1 species